AUUGAACGCUGGCGGCAUGCUUUACACAUGCAAGUCGAGCGGCAGCGCGGGGGCAACCCUGGCGGCGAGCGGCGGACGGGUGAGUAAUGCAUCGGAACGUAUCCCGUAGUGGGGGACAACCCAGCGAAAGCUGGGCUAAUACCGCAUAUGCUCUACGGAGGAAAGCAGGGGACUCGCAAGAGCCUUGUGCUAUGGGAGCGGCCGAUGUCCGAUUAGCUAGUUGGUGGGUAAAGGCUUACCAAGGCGACGAUCGGUAGCUGGUCUGAGAGGAUGAUCAGCCACACUGGGACUGAGACACGGCCCAGACUCCUACGGAGGCAGCAGUGGGAAUUUUGGACAAUGGGGGCAACCCUGAUCCAGCCAUGCCGCGUGCGGAAGAAGG
rnacentral:rRNA from 1 species